AUUGAACGCUGGCGGCAUGCCUUACACAUGCAAGUCGAACGGCAGCACGGGAGCAAUCCUGGUGGCGAGUGGCGAACGGGUGAGUAAUAUAUCGGAACGUGCCCAGUCGUGGGGGAUAACGCAGCGAAAGCUGUGCUAAUACCGCAUACGAUCUACGGAUGACAGCGGGGGAUCGCAAGACCUCGCGCGAUUGGAGCGGCCGAUAUCAGAUUAGCUAGUUGGUGGGGUAAAGGCCCACCAAGGCGACGAACUGUAGCCGGUCUGAGAGGACGACCAGCCACACUGGAACUGAGACACGGUCCAGACUCCUACGGGAGGCAGCAGUGGGGAAUUUUGGACAAUGGGCGCAAGCCUGAUCCAGCAAUGCCGCGUGCAGGAUGAAGGCCUUCGGGUUGUAAACUGCUUUUGUACGGAACGAAACGGCCCUUUCUAAUACAGGGGGCUAAUGACGGUACCGUAAGAAUAAGCACCGGCUAACUACGUGCCAGCAGCCGCCGUAA
rnacentral:rRNA from 1 species